UAUGAGUAAUGACCAAAAUCGAGACUUGAGAUUUCCGAAGACAGGAAUAGAGCAUGCGUCUCUAGACGCAACUCCCCUCCUCCCUUCGUACAAAAGAAGACCUGGAAAACUCCAGACAGAAGACAAUACCCUCCUCCCUUCGUACCAGACAUCAUCAAUAUCUAUAACAAAUACUGGAUAUUUCAUAUUAAUAUACUUUAUAACAUAAUUUUAUGUAAUAGUAUAUUUAUAAAGGCCACGCUUCAUCUGCGAACGUCCGCAGUGAAUGCGCGCUGCGGGUUCCGCAGACGAUCGCCGGACGAGCGUUCCGACAUCGCGGAUAUCGGUUCCGACCUCGCGGACAUCGGUUCCGGCAGAUUUGAAAUCCGACAUCGCAGGAGUUUCUCUCGUCCGUCGGAUUUCUCCAACGAAGGAGAACUCAUCCGCAGCCAGCUUCAGCUGCGGACGUUCACAGGUGAAGCUGGCUGUAUUUAUAAAUACAAAAAGUACAUAAGCAAUUAUACCAUUAUUGGCAUAAGUUGUGAGUAAUUAAUAAUCUGUAAGUCUUCCUUUGUUUAAAUAAUAAUGAUUUGAAUGUAUAAAGUAAGUUUUGAGAUUUUAAUGAAAAUUAAAUCAUUUUUCUUCAGAUGAAUUAUGUGUAAAUCUUUUUUUCUUUUUUUGAGGAAUUAAAUAUUUCAUUUCUGAAAAAAGUGAUGGUAGGCAGUGCUCAAUUAUAGGGAAAUGUAGAACAUGCAUAAAUGAAAACAUAAAAUGAGAACAUAAAAAUCAUGUAAAAGCAUUGUCUCUCUUAUAUAGCUAUGUCUCCGACUAUGUAGCCAUCAACUGGUGCCUUAAGAGGUUGGAUUCCCAUAACAAUAUGGGUUCCAUUUCAAUCUGGUGAAGAUCGAUUGUUCUGUAGGGUGUUGUAGCACCAUAUGCAGUACUUACAUCCCUU
rnacentral:lncRNA from 1 species